GACGAACGCUGGCGGCGUGCUUAACACAUGCAAGUCGAACGGAAAGGCCCUGCUUUUGUGGGGUGCUCGAGUGGCGAACGGGUGAGUAACACGUGAGUAACCUGCCCUUGACUUUGGGAUAACUUCAGGAAACUGGGGCUAAUACCGGCUAGGAGCUCCUGCUGCAUGGGGGGGGUUGGACAGUUUCGGCGGUUGGGGAUGGACUCGCGGCUUAUCAGCUUGUUGGUGGGGUAGUGGCUUACCAAGGCUUUGACGGGUAGCCGGCCUGAGAGGGUGACCGGCCACAUUGGGACUGAGAUACGGCCCAGACUCCUACGGGGGGCAGCAGUGGGGAAUAUUGCACAAUGGGCGGAAGCCUGAUGCAGCAACGCCGCGUGCGGGAUGACGGCCUUCGGGUUGUAAACCGCUUUCGCCUGUGACGAAGCGUGAGUGACGGUAAUGGGUAAAGAAGCACCGGCUAACUACGUG
rnacentral:rRNA from 1 species